UACGUAGGGUGCGAGCGUUGUCCGGAAUUAUUGGGCGUAAAGGGCUCGUAGGCGGUUUGUCGCGUCGGGAGUGAAAACUCAGGGCUCAACCCUGAGCGUGCUUCCGAUACGGGCAGACUAGAGGUAUGCAGGGGAGAACGGAAUUCCUGGUGUAGCGGUGGAAUGCGCAGAUAUCAGGAGGAACACCGGUGGCGAAGGCGGUUCUCUGGGCAUGACCUGACGCUGAGGCGCGAGAGCGUGGGGAGCAAACAGG
rnacentral:rRNA from 1 species